rnacentral:rRNA from 1 species
GAUGAACGCUGGCGGCGUGCCUAAUACAUGCAAGUCGAGCGAACAGACGAGGAGCUUGCUCCUCUGACGUUAGCGGCGGACGGGUGAGUAACACGUGGAUAACCUACCUAUAAGACUGGGAUAACUUCGGGAAACCGGAGCUAAUACCGGAUAAUAUAUUGCACCGCAUGGUUCAAUAGUGAAAGACGGUUUUGCUGUCACUUAUAGAUGGAUCCGCGCCGCAUUAGCUAGUUGGUAAGGUAACGGCUUACCAAGGCAACGAUGCGUAGCCGACCUGAGAGGGUGGUCGGCCACACUGGAACUGAGACACGGUCCAGACUCCUACGGGAGGCAGCAGUAGGGAAUCUUCCGCAAUGGGCGAAAGCCUGACGGAGCAACGCCGCGUGAGUGAUGAAGGUCUUCGGAUCGUAAAACUCUGUUAUUAGGGAAGAACAAAUGUGUAAGUAACUAUGCACGUCUUGACGGUACCUAAUCAGAAAGCCACGGCUAACUACGUG